UUACUGCAUUACAACGACUUCAACUUGUACACUGCUUGUUCUCAGAAUUUCCAGCAAAGAUGUCACUGCUUACCUACAUGUAUGUACUGGUAGCAUGUAGCAUAAUAAUGGCCACUAUACAAAGUGGCUUUGCAUUUGAGGGUGGCCGUCGACGUGCAGGCUCCGAAUUUACCACAGUUGCUCCUGGACCUGGGUGCGGUAUGAAUGCCAAACUCGUGGCCUUAAUUGAUGACAACACUGGAACAUAUACAGUGGGAGAUAACUUUGACUGCACAUGUACGUCGGUCCCUAAAGGAAAUAAUGGUAAUGGUAAUGGUGGUACAUAAUAUUACCUGAAACUGCAACAAUCACUAUGGACAAUACAGUCCAAUAUUCCCAUGAACAUUUCUAAAUACGAAUCAAUAGUUUAAUUCCAUUUUGUCUCUCAGGUUUAUUGAUUAAUAAAACUAUAUCAUGUAUUCUUAACA